CACAGACCCAGCAAGGUCAAGGCAAAAUCUGGGCCCUGACACCCGUCUCCCAAAGUGCCCGAUGACUCAGUACAGCGAUUUCUUUGGCUUUACAAAAGGGCGAGCAACUCUACUGUCAUCGUGCAAUUUUCAGGAGUCAUGGAAUCAAUGCAUGUUCUGGAAAGGGGGAAGCAAGUCUCUGCUUACAAAAGAUUGUUUUUGAUAAUCAGAAUGGAGAUGGAAAAGCGAAGGACUGAAAAAUAGCUCUCAGGAAAAUCCUGCCAUUUCAGGUGCUACAAGGAGGUAGAAUUAAGUCUCUUUUGAUUUGUAAGUACUUCAUGCAGUUGUACUGCCAAUUUUCUAUGUUUGCUCUAACAAGAACAUAUACGAAGAGUUCAUUGGAAUGUUUAUGCACUAAGCUUCAGAGGAUUGCAUUUGACAAUCAACCAUGGCAUGACAGGGGCUUUUUCAUUAGUGACAGAAUAACUGUAGUUUGUAAAACCAGUCUUGGGGCCACUAUUAGAAUUAUAUGUGUGUAUAAAACAUCUCUUUAAGCCCUUCAUUACUA